rnacentral:sRNA from 1 species
GAUCCUGGGCCACCCCUACGACAUGGCCAUUGACAUGUGGAGCCUGGGGUGCAUCAUGGCAGAGUUGUACACGGGCUACCCCCUGUUUCCUGGGGAGAAUGAGGUGGAGCAGCUGGCCUGCAUCAUGGAGGUGCUGGGUCUGCCACCAGCUGGCUUCAUUCAGAUGGCCUCCAGGAGACAGACAUUCUUUGAUUCCAAAGGUUUUCCUAAAAAUAUAACCAACAACAGGGGGAACAAAAGAUACCCAGAUUCCAAGGACCUCACGAUGGUGCUGAAAACCUAUGACAGCAGCUUCCUGGACUUUCUCAGAAGGUGUUUGGUGUGAGUUUGUUGGGAUAUCUCUGUUUCUGGGUUUCCUCUUAAAUGCUAUACUUUGACACACGUUUGCUGGUGAAAGUCUAAGGCUGGGAGAUACUUAUAAAAGUAACAAGAAAUGCUAACAAUAGAGCCUUAAAGUCUACAAAUUGCUUCCACAUGUGUUGUCUCAUCAGCCAUCUCUCCCUACUGUGUGGUUGUCAGGGCAGAUGAUUUGCUCUGUUUUGCAUGUAUGGAGGUUGGGG